GGAAGUAAAAUCGUAACAAGGUUUCUGUAGGUGAACCUGCGGAAGGAUCAUUAUUGUAUAACCGAGGUGCGAGGGCUGUCGCUGACCCGAAAGGUCGUGCACGCCCGAGUGCCCUCACACACAUCCAUCUCACCCCUAUGUGCACCACCGCGUGGGUCCCCCUUUGGCUUGUUCGGAGGGGGGCUUACGUUUUCACACAAACUUUGUAUGCAGUGUAGAAUGUAUUUUUUGUUUUUGCGAUCACGCAAUCAAUACAACUUUCAACAACGGAUCUCUUGGCUCUC
rnacentral:misc_RNA from 1 species